rnacentral:misc_RNA from 1 species
UCCGAGUUGACCCCGGCAGUAUCCCAUGAGUUCCCACCAUUACGUGCUGGCAACAUAGAACGAGGGUUGCGCUCGUUGCGGGACUUAACCCAACAUCUCACGACACGAGCUGACGACAGCCAUGCAGCAUCUGUGGUGCACCCUCGAAGGUCACACGUUUCCGUGCGCUUGCAGCACCAUGUCAAGCCCAGGUAAGGUUCUUCGCGUUGCAUCGAAUUAAAGAACAUGCUCCGCUGCUUGUGCGGGCCCCCGUGGCGUGUUGCCAGCAUUAAGUUGGGGACUCACGCCAGACUGCCGGUGACAAACCGGAGGAAAGUGGGGAUGACGUGUUCGGAUUCUAAG